rnacentral:tRNA from 1 species
GGGAAUAUGGUUCAGUUGGUAGAGUGAGUGCCUUGAAUGCACAAGGCCCUGGGUUCGAUCCCCAGCACCA